CGAUAUAGAAGAUGUACAAGCUUAUGAUGAAAAUUAACAAAUAAAUAUUUUAUUAGUUAAUUUAUAUAUAAUUAUAUCAAAUAGUACAACCAUCAACAGACUGACAAUUAGCUUUGGGAUAUAUUUCUCAACAGAUCAAGCAGUUUAAAGUAAAAGAUCAUGGCAACCCAAAUUGAAUCCCUUCAUGUUGAAAGCUAUUCUAU
rnacentral:lncRNA from 1 species